rnacentral:rRNA from 1 species
UACGGGGGGGGCAAGGCGUUGUUCGGAAUUACUGGGCGUAAAGGGCUCGUAGGUGGCCAACUAAGUCAUACGUGAAAUCCCUCGGCUUAACCGGGGAACUGCGUCUGAUACUGGAUGGCUUGAGGUUGGGAGAGGGAUGCGGAAUUCCAGGUGUAGCGGUGAAAUGCGUAGAUAUCAGGAGGAACACCUAUUGCGAAGGCAGCUCGCUGGGACGUAACUGACGCUGAGACGCGAAAGCGUGGGGAGCAAACAGG